AGAGUUUGAUCAUGGCUCAGAUUGAACGCUGGCGGCAUGCCUUACACAUGCAAGUCGAACGGCAGCACGGGAGCAAUCCUGGUGGCGAGUGGCGAACGGGUGAGUAAUAUAUCGGAACGUGCCCAGUCGUGGGGGAUAACGCAGCGAAAGCUGUGCUAAUACCGCAUACGAUCUACGGAUGAAAGCGGGGGAUCGCAAGACCUCGCGCGAUUGGAGCGGCCGAUAUCAGAUUAGCCAGUUGGCGGGGUAAAAGCCCACCAAGGCGACGAUCUGUAGCUGGUCUGAGAGGACGACCAGCCACACUGGAACUGAGACACGGUCCAGACUCCUACGGGAGGCAGCAGUGGGGAAUUUUGGACAAUGGGCGCAAGCCUGAUCCAGCAGUGCCGCGUGCAGGAUGAAGGCCUUCGGGUUGUAAACUGCUUUUGUACGGAACGAAACGGUCUGUCCUAAUACGAUGGGCUAAUGACGGUACCGUAAGAAUAAGCACCGGCUAACUACGUGCCAGCAGCCGCGGUAAUACGUAGGGUGCGAGCGUUAAUCGGAAUUACUGGGCGUAAAGCGUGCGCAGGCGGUUAUAUAAGACAGAUGUGAAAUCCCCGGGCUCAGCCUGGGACCUGCAUUUGUGACUGUAUAGCUAGAGUACGGUAGA
rnacentral:rRNA from 1 species